UACGUAGGGGGCGAGCGUUACCCGGAAUCACUGGGCGUAAAGGGAGCGUAGGUGGCCUGACAUGUCGACUGUGAAAACCCGGAGCUCAACUCCGGACUUGCAGUUGAAACUGCCAGGCUUGAGGACGGUAGAGGAAGACGGAACUGCCAGUGUAGGGGUAAAAUCCUUAGAUAUUGGCAGGAACACCGGUGGCGAAAGCGGCUUUCUGGCGCAUAACUGACGCUGAGGCUCGAAAGCGUGGGGAGCGAACGGGAUUAGAUACCCGGGUAGUCCCUGAGCGGG
rnacentral:rRNA from 1 species